GGCGGUGUAGCUCAGCUGGCAGAGCAAGCGGCUCAUAUCCGCUAGGUCUGGGGUUCAAGUCCCCACGCCGCCA
rnacentral:tRNA from 1 species